rfam:Ixodes scapularis strain Wikel colony gcontig_1108379516831, whole genome shotgun sequence.
GCCGGGUUUGCUCAGCCUGUAGAGCGCUUCACUGGAAAUGGAUAGGACCCUGGUUCGAUACCAGGACCGGGCG